UGCUAUCGGUGUUCGCCUAAGCCAUGCGAGUCAUAUGUUCUUCGUGAACAUGGCGUACUGCUCAGUAACACGUGGAUAACCUGCCCUUGGGUCCGGCAUAACCCCGGGAAACUGGGGAUAAUUCCGGAUAACGCAUAUAUGCUGGAAUGCUUUAUGCGUAAAACGGAUUCGUCUGCCCAAGGAUGGGUCUGCGGCCUAUCAGGUAGUAGUGGGUGUAAUGUACCUACUAGCCAACAACGGGUACGGGUUGUGAGAGCAAGAGCCCGGAGAUGGAUUCUGAGACAUGAAUCCAGGCCCUACGGGGCGCAGCAGGCGCGAAAACUUUACAAUGCGGGAAACCGUGAUAAGGGGACACCGAGUGCCAGCGUCAUACGCUGGCUGUCCAGGUGUGUAAAAUACACCUGUUAGCAAGGGCCGGGCAAGACCGGUGCCAGCCGCCGCGGUAACACCGGCGGCCCGAGUGGUGAUCGUGAUUAUUGGGUCUAAAGGGUCCGUAGCC
rnacentral:rRNA from 1 species